GAAAGAGCAGGUGUUCAUAAUGUUUUGUAUACUCAGUGUUUAUCACACCUCCUUUGACUGGGUGCUGAAACCAGUUGUCGUUAUGUACUUUGUUUUUAGUCCUUGUUGUGGUGGUACAGGAGGAAGUGAAUGACUUUCUCUAAUUCUGUAUAUGGCUCUGUCGCUCACUCCGUGCUUGUUAAUACUGGAGGGAGUGAUGGUGAUGACAGUGGCUCUGAUGACCAGGCGAGAGAGGAGAAUAACCUGUGGGAGGAGCAACAGAUUGGGAUGUGAGUCAAGCGACACCCUGGGGGAACAGGUAAGAUAUUCACCCCUCUACUUUCUAAGUCGCACACAAACACACUUACUUUCUCUCUCUCACUCCGUCACUUCACCGUCUGUCCGUCCGUCCGUGAUGAAAUCUUCAUUCCUCACGACCCUAAGAAGUGAGUGACUUGUGAUUUAUUUAAGUAGUUACUGGAAUUCAUGUGUCAUACCAAGCUUGUCAUGCCGUAGCUUUACCAGGACGCCCUGGUGUUCUGGCGGGUUUUUAGAUGACAAAUCCUCUCCAAAGAGGCGGUUCAGAGACCAGCCGUGAAGGUACGUAAAACAACACUUGUUUUAAAGGUCUUGUUCCAUGAUGCGUUUUCUAAAAGAGGGUUUAUAGUGCACUGUGGUGACGGACCAUGUGGCUAGUUAGCCCGUAACAACAUCUACCAGUAAAGUCCAGUCAAGAGAUGGAGGGCUUUCGUGUCACAGCUCCUUGCGUGUUGCCUUGUGCAGCUAAUUCCCCUGCCUUUACUGCGUGGUCUCUCUUGCCAUUUCUGUGACAUCCAUUGCUUUAGUGGUGUUUCCAUCUUGCGUGUCAACUCUUCGGUAACGUGGGCCGGUGGGGUGGUUUGAUACCUGAACACGCUCUAAAGGAGCUUGAUGUUGGACAAACUCCUGAACUGCUACCUGAAUGAUGACACUACUCAACGAGACCCCAUCUCAGGACUCUGUCCAUAAAUGCAAAAAGGUGUGUAGGUGAAUUGCGUGUGUCUAAUGUUGAUGUGUUGUCUACGGGGGUUUCAAGGUGUUCUCUAGUGGAGUAAUUGCUCUGCCGUCUUCGAGAUGGCUCAAGUUUAGUGGUGUCAUUUUCAGGUUUUUCUCAAAUUGAACUGAGAUUUAUUGCUCUCUCUCGUCUCUCUCCAUCUCUUUCGCUGAGCAGGUCGCGGCGUGUUUUCCUCAGUCCUGGUUUUAAGACGUGAGCUCCUGUCCCUCUCACCUGAAGUCCUUCAGUGACCAUCUCCUCCAGACAGCCCAUUCAGUAUACAAACAACAGCCUGACCACCCCAACAGACGGCCCGUGGUGAGCGACGUGCUAACUUUUCUGGGAAGCAUCAAGGCCUGGGACAAGAAAAAGUCUGUGCUUGUAACUUCAUCCCAAGGGCUGAGUAUGCAUAAGUCUUAGUGUGUACAUGAGGAGAAAACAACUUACAGUAUGUAGUGGUAGUGGAGUUUUUUUAUUGACGUGUGCACAUUGUAUCACGGGUGGCCGGCAGAUGGCGCUAUUUUUCCUUUUAGGUCAUUUGUCUACGUCCAACUGGAAUCUAUGCAGCCGGCUAUACACUCGUAUCCCCCCCAGCGCCCGGCUCGUACAUAAAACAUCCUACAUUCAGGGUGCAAGGGCAUCCAUUUCCUCAAUUUCAAUUAAAUGUAUUUCUAAAGCUCUUCUUACAUCAGCUGAUGUCACAAAGUGCUGUACAGAAACCCAGCCUAAAACCCCAAACAGCAAGCAAUGCAGGUGUAGAAGGACAUUGGCUAGGAAAAACUCCCUAGAAAGGAAGGAAGAAACCUAGAGAGGAACCAGGCUAUGAGGGGUGGCCAGUCCUCUUCUGGCUGGGCCGGGUGUAGAUUAUAACAGAACAUGGCCAAGAUGUUCAAAGAUGCAAGCGGGGUCAAAUAAUAAUAAUCACAGUGGUUGUCGAGGGUGCAACAGGUCAGCACCUCCGGAGUAAAUGUCAAUUGGCUUUACAUAGCCGAUCAUUCAGAGUAUCUCUACCGCUCCUGCUGUCUCUAGAGUGUUGAAAACAGCAGGUCUGGGACAAGAUGGCACGUCCGGUGAACAGGUCAGGGUUCCAUAGUCGCAGGCAGAACAGUUGAAACUGGAGUAGCAGCACGACCAGGUGGACUGGGGCCAGCAAGGAGUCAUCAUGCCAGGCAGUCAUGAGGCAUGGUCCUAGGGCUCAGGUCCUCCGAGAGAGAGGGGAAAAAAGAGAAUUAGAGAGAGCAUACUUAAAUUCACACAGGACACGGAUAAGACAGGAGAAAUACUCCAGAUAUAACAGACUGACCCUAGCCUCCCGACACAAACUAUUGCAGCAUAAAUACUGGAGGCUGAGACAGGAGGGGUCGGGAGACACUGGCCCGGUCCGAUGAUACUGGCAGGCUAAAACCCCACCGAUUUACCUCUUAAUAAAACAUCAUUUUCCAUCUGCUAGAGUGGCAUCACUCCUUGAUGUUGCAUACUGCUUUCAGACUGCUGCAACCUGAUUGGCUGAAUAUCAGGAAGUACCAUUAGCCAUACAUUUUUCUAAACUAAUCCAAUAUUUUAGUUGGACUUGCACCUGUUACUGAGAUGGCUGUUCCAGUUGAUAUUAUUUAGUUAGUCUCAAUAAUCAAUUCUUACCUGGGCAGUCAUUCUCGUCUGAAAACGAUUUAAAAGUUCAAGACAUCCCCACUCUGGCUGGAUUCCAAUAGGAAUUACACAUCACUUUGCAAGCCAGCAUAACGUGCUUUACAGGCUUGAUGUUCAGUAGUUUCAGAACAAUGUGUUUGAGAGUUAUACCCUAAGAAAGGCUUUAUGAUAUACAGGUAACUGCCAAAAUAAAGGCACCACCAACAUAGUGUCUUAAUAAUAGGGCCGGGACAAUACCAGUAUCGCGAUAUUCAUUCGUUUCGUGGCAAAGAAACAAAACAUGAGAAGUGAACUUCUUUACGAAAACAGCCCGUAUGUUGGAAACAAACAUGUUGUCUUCCAGUCAUGUUUAUUUUCCAAGCUAUAUCACACAAUAUUUGACAUAAAGCAGGUUUUUAGAAGGACAAGAAUCUCCCAUACGUGUUCAGUUGGGUUGAGAUCUGGUGACUGAGACACAAACACGUAACCUUUAAACCGCAUAAGUUCCUUUUGAGAUGCCUCUUUCAAAGUCCCAGGUAUCUUCUCGCCAUGGUAACAAAGAUUUGUCAAAGGCUUGUCAUGACUUCUACUACUAAUCCAUUUAGUAGUAUAGUGAUGCAAUUGCCCUCAUAGUUGUGAGACACGGGCGAUUUCCUUAAACAACUAUCUGAACUUGAAAUUGGGGAUGACUAGCUAUCUCUCUCUCAUCACCCUAGAUGACAAAGGACUGGAGGCUUGAAAGUUAUUGUUGGAACAGAGAGGGGACACAAUGUCCUCUACAGGUUUUUUUGUUGGAUCUGAGUAUACUCCUGUUCAAUAACUAUUUUUUUGUUUGAAGACUGUUACUAUGUACAAAAACAGGUAGCGACUAUGGGCUCCAUUUUCUCUCCUAACAAUUAAUGUCUAUUUGUGGGUUAUCUUGAAGGCAAGUUCAUUUGGCACAAUAACCCUUCUCCCAUCAUAUAUGUAUGUGUAAAAUAUAUGACGAUUAUGUGUUUCUCAUUUGGAAGGGUCCCUUCAAUGUGUUUGAUUUUCUCGCCGACCUUAAUGAUACGGUUCAAUCUAUCAGAGAUUGUCAAUGGCGAUAUGUCUUUCCUUGACACACCUUCACUCAGGGUCUACGUUGUCCCACUACUUUGUACACAAAGCCUACGGACAAGAAAAGUAUCCUAUACGCAGCCUAGUGCUCAUCCCACAUUUCUGAAAAAGGGAUCACCGUACGCACAAUCUCUGAGACUGAAACGCAUGUGUGCUGGUAAAACAGACUUUGAAAACGAGGCUAUGAACAUGUAUAGACUAUUUGAGGCCCGCUCGUACACAAAAUAAUGGCUUGAUGAUGCUCCCAGUAAAGUACGUACCAUUGAUGAGACCUCUACCAGAAGGGAUAAAAGUAAUCAAAUAAAACAUUGUAUCUGUACCACUACAUAUUGGCCUUUUGAGCGAUGGCAUCAAGGGAGCUGUUAAGAAACACUGGAAUGUGCUUAUGGCUGAUCCUGUUUGCCCCAAAAAAUGUAUCUGGCCCCCCCUCUCCUUUCACGCUGCAG
ensembl:lncRNA